GCUAGUGUAGUGUAGUGGUUUGAGCAUUGGAUUAGGUCUCUGGGAGACCAGGGUUCAAAUCCCUGCUCCACCA